CAGCCAGCUUAGGCCAGCGGUUUCAUCGACCAACACAUUGCUUGGAUUCCCCAAUCGCUUUCAGCAGUUUGAGACCCGCGGGCACUGCCUGGCUUUAAA